GCGUGCAUCAACGGUCAAAGUCACCUGGAAUGGUGUCCCAUAGAGGGUGAUAGGCCCGUACGGCCGUCUGAUGUGUUCGCUGACAAGUCGUCUCUAGAGUCGGUUGCUUGCUAUUGCAGCCCUAAGCAGGUGGUAAGCUCCACCUAAAGCUAAAUAUGACCACAAGCCCGAUAGUCAACAAGUACAGUGAUGGAAAGUUGAAAAGCACUCUGAAGAGAGAGUCAAACAGCCCGUGAAGCUGCUCUUUAUGGGAUUAAGCGCACGUGUGACACGUGUCGCUCGACAAAUAGGCGACCGGCCGUUGGUUCGUCGUUGCGAUUGUGUGAUCACGGUUGGGCGGCGUGUACGCCAGCGGUUGAGCGCUUUCCUUUGUCGGGCAUUGACAGGUCGUGCUGUCGUUGCUGUGGUGCUAAUGUCCACAAGCCGUCGUCGGCCGGUGUUGUUGCGGCCGUAACAACGGUGCUGCGCUGAAUUGGCGUGCUUCGACGACAGCGUCGGUGUUGGUGUGGCGUGCUAGACACUGUGCGACGAGUGGCGCUACGACGUUCGUGAACGGCCUUUGUGUUGUCACGUGCGGCCCGUCUUGAAACACGGACCAAGGAGUCUAACAUGUGAGCAAGCGAUUGAGAUUUUCACUAAUCUCAAACGCACAAUGAAAGUGAAGUGUCGCAUGGUGGCACAAGCGGAGAUCAAUUGCUGUUUAACGAGGGUGAUUGCGCAUCCGCGGGCCGCGCCAUCGGCUGGCUUGCUGGUUAAUUCGCACUGCCGAGGCGUGGACCUAGAGCUGACACGCUGAGACCCGAAAGAUGGUG
rnacentral:rRNA from 1 species